UACGGGGGGGGGCAAGCGUUUGUUCGGAAUUACUGGGCGUAAAGCGCGCGUAGGCGGUGAUCUUUGUCAGAGGUGAAAUCCCGAGGCUCAACUUCGGAAUUGCCUUUGAAACGGGAUUGCUUGAGUCCGAGAGAGGAUGGCGGAAUUCCUAGUGUAGAGGUGAAAUUCGUAGAUAUUAGGAAGAACACCGGUGGCGAAGGCGGCCAUCUGGCUCGGUACUGACGCUCAGGCGCGAAAGCGUGGGGAGCAAACAGG
rnacentral:rRNA from 1 species